rnacentral:rRNA from 1 species
UUCCGUAGGUGAACCUGCGGAAGGAUCAUUACUGAGAGAGGGGCCUUGCGCUCCCGGGGGCUUCGGCCCCCAACUCUUCACCCUUUGCGUACCUACCUUUGUUGCUUUGGCGGAUCCGGGAGUUCUCUCGCGCCGACCUUAGGCCGGCGAGCGUCCGCCAGAGGCCCAUUUAAUCCUAUUCUUUAGUGAUGUCCGAGUCCAAACACAAUGAAUAAAAACUUUCAACAACGGAUCUCUUGGUUCCAGCAUCGAUGAAGAACGCAGCGAAAUGCGAUAAGUAAUGUGAAUUGCAGAAUUCAGUGAAUCAUCGAAUCUUUGAACGCACAUUGCGCCCCUCGGCAUUCCGGGGGGUAUGCCUGUUCGAGCGUCAUUGCACCCCUCAAGCCCAGCUUGGUAUUGGGCUCUCGCCCCCGUGGCGGGCCCGAAAAACAGUGGCGGUCCGGCGUGACUUUAAGCGUAGUAACAUCUUCCCGCUCUAAAGCUUUCGUCGUGGCCGGCCAAAUAACCCCAUUUACUUCUAUAAUUGACCUCGGAUCAGGUAGGGAUACCCGCUGAACUUAA